rnacentral:rRNA from 1 species
GUCAACCGCAGUACCGGCAGCGGCGGAAAGACCGAGUGUUGAGGUGUUAAGCGGCAGGACUGGGCGUAAUUAGCGCGUAGGGUGCGUGGUAAGUGGGAGGUGAAAGCCCCGGGCUUAACUUGGGGAUGUCAUUCAAUACUGGCGUGCGAGAUUGUGGGAGAGGAAAGCGGAAUGCCAGGUGUAGCGGUGAAAGGCGUAGAUAUCUGGCGGAACAUCAAUGGCGAAUGCGGCUUUCUGGCCCAACACUGACGCUGAGGUGCGAAAGCGUGGGGAGCAAACAGGAUUAGAUACCCUUGAGUC